rnacentral:lncRNA from 1 species
GGAAGAAGGAAGGCAUUCCGAAGGCUGAGAACUUGGAAGAAUGCAGGAUGUGGGUUCAGCCGUGAGGACUGGAGAGACCAGACUGGAAUUGUGGGAGAGAAAGUGGAAAGGCAGCUGAAGCAUUGAAAUGGGCAUCUUGGCUGGGCAUGGUGGCUCACACCUGGAAUCCCAGCACUUUGGGAGGCUGAGGCGGGCAGAUCACCUGAGGUCAGGAGUUUGAGACCAGCCUGCCCAACAUGGUGAAGCCCCGUGUCUACUAAAAAUACAGAAAAAUUAGUCGAGCGUGGUGGCACACGCCUGUAAUCCCAGCUACUUUGGAGGCUGAGGCAGAAGAACUGCUUGAACCCAGGAGCUGGAGGUUGCAGUGAGCCGAGAUCAUGCCAUUGUACUCCAGCCUGGGCAACAAGAAUAGAAACUACUAUCUCUAAAAAAAAAAAAAAAGAAAAAGAAGAAGAAGAAAAAAAGAAAGAAAUGGGCAUCUCUACUCUCAGGAACUAGAGAGAGAGGAAAGAGGACAGAAUCAUGCCUCAUGUGAUGGAGGAGAAGAAGUGGGCUUUGGGCUGCUGUGUUGGGCAAGAGACUAUGAUUCAUCUUCCUGCAUGGAUUGCCUUGAGUCAUGCUGUCCUCAUCAUUAGAAUGGAAAUACAUCUAAUGCUUCUAUCAUGAUGAAAUCUAAAAUAAGUCAAUAAGGAUGUUCUUUUGGUCAAAUUGAUGUCUUUGCCUGGGAUGCCCUUCCAUCUUAGUCGACCUAGACAAUAUUCUGCAUCUUUCAAGAAUCAUUUGGUGACUCAUAAAUCUAUAUCUCAAGCCCAGACCUCUGUCCUCAGGUCCUAGGUCAGGUAUCCCACUGCUCACUAAUCACAGCUACUGGAAUUCUUCUGGGGCAUCUUGACUCAUCAUGAGAUAUUCCUUCCAUGGCUCAACAAAGAGAAUGGGUUCCUCUUUUUUUGGCCUCCACUGUUCUUUGUGUAAGCUUCUCUAACACUGUCUGUAAUAGUUUAUUCGAGGUCUUUAUGUAAUCGUUUAUUCAAGGUCUUCAAAUACUGGGCACACAGACCACCCUCCCCCUUCUUCACUAUUGGAAACUUAUUACUAUGAUAAUAACAAUAACAGCUAUUGUUAAUAGUAUUAUUUGCUGAACUGGUAUGAGUAUGGUAGGCAGCUAAUGCCAACAGAUUGGAAGCUAUUGACCAGAUAAAACCUAUAAACCAUUCCUGCAAAUAGAAAUUUGUAUAUUCAUUUUAAUAAAUCAUGUUAAUUUCUCAUGGCACUUGUAGAUAAAUUAAUGAAUCCAUAAAUAAAUAAAUGUAUA